rnacentral:tRNA from 1 species
GCCCUGGUAGCAUAAUGGUUAAGAGCUUGGCUGCUAACUGAAAGGUUGGUGGUUUGAACCCAUCCAGGGGCU